GAUGAACGCUGGCGGCGUGCCUAAUACAUGCAAGUCGAGCGAACAGACGAGGAGCUUGCUCCUUUGACGUUAGCGGCGGACGGGUGAGUAACACGUGGGUAACCUACCUAUAAGACUGGGAUAACUUCGGGAAACCGGAGCUAAUACCGGAUAAUAUUUCGAACCGCAUGGUUCGAUAGUGAAAGAUGGCUUUGCUAUCACUUAUAGAUGGACCUGCGCCGUAUUAGCUAGUUGGUAAGGUAACGGCUUACCAAGGCAACGAUACGUAGCCGACCUGAGAGGGUGAUCGGCCACACUGGAACUGAGACACGGUCCAGACUCCUACGGGAGGCAGCAGUAGGGGAUCUUCCGCAAUGGGCGAAAGCCUGACGGAGCAACGCCGCGUGAGUGAUGAAGGUCUUCGGAUCGUAAAACUCUGUUAUUAGGGAAGAACAAACGUGUAAGUAACUGUGCACGUCUUGACGGUACCUAAUCAGAAAGCCACGGCUAACUACGUG
rnacentral:rRNA from 1 species